rnacentral:RNase_P_RNA from 1 species
GUGGAGGAGUGCGACGGUCGCGGCUCGUCUAGGCGGGCCGAGGAAAGUCCGAGCUCCACAGGGCAGACUGCCAGGUAACACCUGGGCGCCGUGAGGCGACGGAAAGGGCCACAGAGAACAGACCGCCCAUCCGUGAGGGUGGGUAAGGGUGAAACGGUGGGGUAAGAGCCCACCGCGCGACUGGCAACAGUCGCGGCACGGCAACCCCCAGUCGGAGCAAGGCCAAAUAGGCGGUGAGGCUCGGCCCGAGCUGUUGGAGCCGCGGGUAGGCUGCUUGAGGUGGCGGGUGACCGCCAUCCCAGAUAGAUGACCGUACAGCGCAUGCGCUGAACAGAACUCGGCUUACGGCUCCCCCACCCCU